AAUAAUAAUCAACUUAUAAUAAAUUUUAUAAAUACUAGGUCCUUUCGUACUAAAGUAUUUUUUUUAUUUAAAGAUAGAAACCAACCUGGCUCACGCCGGUUUAAACUCAGAUCAUGUAAAAUAUUAAAGGUCGAACAGACCUAACCUUUUAGCCCCUACACCAAAAGUUAAUUUUAAUCCAACAUCGAGGUCGCAAACUCUUUUUUCGAUAUGAACUCUCAAAAAAAAUUACGCUGUUAUCCCUAAGGUAAUUUAAUCUUGUAAUCGUAAUAUACGGAUCAAUUAUUCAUAAAUCAAUGGUUAUAAUAAAAAAAAGUUAAUCAAAUUUUUCUGUCGCCCCAACAAAAUACUUGAUUAAAUACAAACUUUAAAAAUACUAAAUUAUUUGAACUAAACCAAAUAUAAAACUCUAUAGGGUCUUCUCGUCUUUUAAAAUUAUUUAAGCUUUCUUACUUAAAGAUAAAGUUCUAAUUUAAAUUAAACUGAGACAGUUAUUUUCUCGUCCGACCAUUCAUUCCAGCUUUCAAUUAAAAAACUAAUGAUUAUGCUACCUUUGCACGGUCAAAAUACCGCGGCCAUUCAACUCCUCAUUGGGCAGGCCAGACUUUAAAUUAUACUCAAAAAGACAUGUUUUUAAUAAACAGGCGGAAAAUAGAUUUGCCGAGUUCCUUAGUUCAACCUUAAUCAAACAAUUUAUUAACACAAUAAAUUAUACUAAUUAUACCAUUAUUACACAUAUUACCCAAUUAAAUAAAUCAUUCUAAUAAAAAACUUAAACAACAAUAAAAAUCUUAUUCAAUUUGAAAAUUAAUUAUAACAAACUAAAGAUAAAAAUUUCCAAUCCUACAAUUAUUCAAUUUAAUAAAAAUAGUUAUAAAAAUUUACUUUAAAGCUUAUCCCUUAAAGUAUUACUUUACAAUAAUAUUUAAUUAAACAAUUAAUUAAAUACCUUUCGUAAACUAAAUUAAAUUUAUUUCUUAGAAAACUAGAUAUCUUAAAAAACGAAUAACGUUUCAUUUCUAACAUUAUAUUUUAAAGAGUUAUUCCACAAUCAAAUGUAUACAAUGUUAGCUCUUUUUAAUUCGAGAACUCUAACUAAUCAGAUAUUUUUAAUAAACCCUGAUACCCAAGGUACAAAAAAUCAAUUAUUCUUUUACACAAUUUAUUAUUCUCUAUAUUUCAAUAUCCUAUCACUAUACAAUUCUCUAUAAUAAAAAUACUGUACUCUAAAAAAUACUAACUAUAAAAAUACUUUUUUUAAUAAACAUAUAAGUAUAAAUCUUAAUAU
rnacentral:rRNA from 1 species